UAGUAAGAGGAAAAUCCGUCGACUUUUUAAAU
rnacentral:tRNA from 1 species